rnacentral:rRNA from 1 species
AACGUACGCUGGCGGCACGCCUAACACAUGCAAGUCGAACGAAGUAGCAAUACUUAGUGGCAGACGGGUGAGUAACAUGUAGGUAUCUGCCCUUUGGCCUGGAAUAACACGAGGAAACUUGUGCUAAUACCGGAUAAGUCUUUACGGAGAAAGCUUUAUGCACCAUUGGAUGAGCCUGCACUUGAUUAGUUUGUUGGUGGGGUAAUGGCCUACCAAGACUGUGAUCAAUAGCUGAUUUGAGAGGAUGAUCAGCCACAUUGGGACUGAGACACGGCCCAAACUCCUACGGGAGGCAGCAGUGGGGAAUCUUGCACAAUGGAGGAAACUCUGAUGCAGCGAUGCCGCGUGAGUGAAGAAGGCCCUUGGGUUGUAAAGCUCUUUCGUCGGGGAAGAAAAUGACUGUACCCGAAUAAGAAGGUCCGGCUAACUUCGUGCCAGCAGCCGCGGUAAUACGAAGGGACCUAGCGUAGUUCGGAAUUACUGGGCUUAAAGAGUUCGUAGGUGGUUGAAAAAGUUAGUGGUGAAAUCCCAGAGCUUAACUCUGGAACUGCCAUUAAAACUUUUCAGCUAGAGUAUGAUAGAGGAAAGCAGAAUUUCUAGUGUAGAGGUGAAAUUCGUAGAUAUUAGAAAGAAUACCAAUUGCGAAGGCAGCUUUCUGGAUCAUUACUGACACUGAGGAACGAAAGCAUGGGUAGCGAAGAGGAUUAGAUACCCUCGUAGUCCAUGCCGUAAACGAUGUGUGUUAGACGUUGGAAAUUUAUUUUCAGUGUCGCAGGGAAACCGAUAAACACACCGCCUGGGGAGUACGACCGCAAGGUUAAAACUCAAAUGAAUUGACGGGGACCCGCACAAGUAGUGGAGCAUGUGGUUUAAUUCGAAGAUACGCGCAGAACCUUACCAACACUUGACAUGUUCGUCGCGACUCUAAGAGAUUAGAGUUUUUGGUUCGGCCGGACGAAACACAGGUGCUGCAUGGCUGUCGUCAGCUCGUGUCGUGAGAUGUUGGGUUAAGUCCCGCAACGAGCGCAACCCUCACUUUUAGUUGCCAUCAUUAAGUUGGGCACUCUGAAAGAACUGCCAGUGAUAAGCUGGAGGAAGGUGGGGAUGACGUCAAGUCCUCAUGGCCCUUACGUGUUGGGCUACACACGUGCUACAAUGGUAUCUACAACAGGAAGCAAGACUGCGAAGUUAAGCAAAUCCCUAAAAGAUACCUCAGUUCGGAUUGCACUCUGCAACUCGAGUGCAUGAAGCUGGAAUUACUAGUAAUCGUGGAUCAGCGUGCCACGGUGAAUGCGUUCCCGGGUCU